rnacentral:rRNA from 1 species
GGAGGGUGCAAGCGUUAUCCGGAUUUACUGGGUUUAAAGGGUGCGUAGGUGGGUAGGUAAGUCAGUGGUGAAAUCUUCAAGCUUAACUUGGAAACUGCCAUUGAUACUAUUUAUCUUGAAUACUUUGGAGGUAAGCGGAAUAUGUCAUGUAGCGGUGAAAUGCUUAGAUAUGACAUAGAACACCAAUUGCGAAGGCAGCUUACUACACAGUUAUUGACACUGAGGCACGAAAGCGUGGGGAUCAAACAGGAUUAGAUACCCUGGUAGUCCACGCCCUAAACGAUGGAUACUCGACAUUAGCGAUAUACAGUUAGUGUCUGAGCGAAAGCAUUAAGUAUCCCACCUGGGAAGUACGACCGCAAGGUUG